GGGCCUCGUGCGGCACCUCCUCCUUGCUGUCGCCCGGGCGGGUGGCUUGCGUUGGCCGCGAUAUGGCUGCACUGGUGGAGCCGCUGGGACUGGAGCGGGACGUGUCCCGGGCCGUGGAGCUGCUGGAGCGGCUGCAACGCAGCGGGGAGCUGCCCCCGCAGAAGCUGCAGGCCCUGCAGCGGGUCCUGCAGAGCCGUUUCUGUUCUGCCAUCCGCGAGGUGUAUGAGCAGCUCUAUGACACGCUGGAUAUCACUGGCAGCGCUGAGGUGCGGGCUCACGCCACAGCCAAGGCCACAGUGGCUGCCUUCACAGCCAGUGAGGGCCAUGCACAUCCCAGGGUCGUGGAACUACCGAAGACUGAUGAGGGUUUGGGCUUCAACAUCAUGGGUGGCAAAGAGCAGAACUCACCCAUCUACAUCUCUCGAGUCAUCCCUGGAGGCGUGGCUGAUCGCCAUGGUGGCCUCAAGAGGGGAGACCAGCUGCUGUCCGUGAAUGGUGUGGGUGGUAAGGGCAGCGGUUUGGGUCAGCAGUCUGUGCGAGGCCUGCCCUGCAGAGUGUGGAGGGCGAACACCAUGAAAAAGCCGUGGAACUCCUGAAGGCCGCCCAGAGCUCAGUGAAACUGGUGGUGCGGUACACCCCGCGGGUGCUGGAGGAGAUGGAGGCCCGCUUUGAGAAGAUGCGGUCUGCCCGGAGGCGCCAGCAACACCACAGCUACACGUCUUUGGAGUCCCGAGGCUGAAAUCAGAGAGCAGGACCCUCCACCUCCCCUGUACAGUAUUAUUUAUUGUCACUGGCACCGUAUUUAAAGAUCUUUAACCCUCA